AGAUUGAACGCUGGCGGCAUGCCUAACACAUGCAAGUCGAACGGGAGUAGCAAUACUCUAGUGGCGGACGGGUGAGGAAUACGUAGGAAUUUGCCCUUAAGUGGGGGAUAACCCGGGGAAACCCGGAUUAAUACCGCAUGACCUCGAAAGAGCAAAGUGGGGGAUCGCAAGACCUCACGCUUUUGGAGAAGCCUACGUCGGAUUAGCUAGUUGGUGAGGUAAUGGCUCACCAAGGCGACGAUCCGUAAACUGGUCUGAGAGGAUGAUCAGUCACACCGGAACUGAGACACGGUCCGGACUCCUACGGGAGGCAGCAGUGGGGAAUAUUGGACAAUGGGCGCAAGCCUGAUCCAGCAAUGCCGCGUGUGUGAAGAAGGACCUUCGGUGUAAGACACUUAAGUUAGGGAAGAAAAACUACGACGUCUAACACCAGUGAGUCUUACGACGGUACCGUACAAGAAUAAGACACCGGACUAACUCUCGUGUCAGCAGCCGCG
rnacentral:rRNA from 1 species